rnacentral:rRNA from 1 species
GCUCGGAAUCAUUGGGCGUAAAGCGCACGUAGGCGGCUUGUUAAGUCGGGUGGGAAAUCCUGGAGCUCAACUCCAGAACUGCCUUCGAUACUGGAGAGCUCGAGUCCGGGAGAGGUGAGUGGAACUGCGAGUGUAGAGGUGAAAUUCGUAGAUAUUCGCAAGAACACCAGUGGCGAAGGCGGCUCACUGGCCCGGUACUGACGCUGAGGUGCGAAAGCGUGGGGAGCAAACAGG